GACGAACGCUGGCGGCGUGCCUAAUACAUGCAAGUCGAACGCAGUGGGGACGGUUGAGUAACACGUGGGUAACCUCCCAUCAGAGGGGAUAAAACUUGGAAACAAGUGCUAAACCGAUACUGAUUGAUGGACCCGCUGUGCAUUAGCUAGUUGGUGAGGUAACGGCUCACCAAGGCCACGAUGCAUAGCCGACUUGAGAGGGUGAUCGGCCACACUUGGACUGAGACACGGCCCAGACUCCUAAGGGAGGCAGCAGUAGGGAAUAGUCGGCAAUGGACGAAAGUCUGACCGAGCAACGCCGCGUGAGUGAAGAAGGUUUUCGGAUCGUAAAACUCUGUUGUUAGAGAAGCGGUAUCUAACCAGAAAGCAACGGCUAACUACGUGCCAGCAGCCGCGGUAAUAC
rnacentral:rRNA from 1 species